CGUGGUUGUCGUGGAUUACAUCGUGGUUGUCGUGGAUUACAUCGUGGUUGUCGUGGAUUACAUCGUGGCUGUCGUGGAUUUCAUCGUGGUUGUCGUGGAUUUGUCAAAGUAAAUUUGGGCUAAGGAUUACGUUAAUCUACGAAUAAAGAACGACGACGAGCAAUGGUGUAAUAGUCAAACAAUCAAAAAUUGACUUACCGUUCAUAAACUUUGUAUUUUGUCUUUAUAAUCAAUUUGACAUUGUGUUACACAUGAGUUUAAAAAACACACGAUAGUUUCAUGGUGGUUUGUCCAAUUAUGAUAUUUAUCAAGAUUUGAGUAAAGCUGUAUGAGGGAAACACAAAAAUAAUCAAUGGAAUAAAUCCUGACACUACGUAGAAAAAUAAAUAUAGUAAUUUCCACUUCAUCAAAAAACAUUACGCUUCAUUUGUUGAUCGUCAGAGUAUGUUUCAUCCUAUGAACAAAACCACCUUACACAACACUGCUGGAAGUUUUGAAGAGGCAGUUGGUUGCUCAUGACGACCAACCUAUAGUGAAAAAAGAAUGCAAUGGUGGCACAUUAUGAUUCAUAUAUGGCAUCAUUGUAUCAUGUAUGUCGUGGGUCAAAGCAUAAUUGUUGUCAAUCACAGUCAUAUAGUCAUCGUAGAUUAACUCACAGCUGUCGUGGAUUACGUGUACUUUAUUGUUGUCAUGUAUUUACAUCGUCGUUAUCGUGGAUUUACAUUAUCGCUAUACCUUAAUCUACGAAUAAAGACCAAAGACGACGUUUAAGGUAGCAGGUUUAUAGUGUUUUAGUUAAAAUCCUGGUGAUCUGCACUAACAGGAAGAUGAUUGAUCAUUGGCUGAGUGUAUAACAAAGUUAGUUGUUCUUUUGAUUCUUGUUAGUGUUGUUGUGUUGUUUUUUUAGUUUUGUGCAUGUGAUGUAGUGCUUUUGCCGUUGAAACAUUUGCCUGAAAACGAUGAUACAUCUUAUAUUGCCGGAAACUUUGAUCAAAGUGUCGUAUAAUGUAAGAUUAUCAUUGUGCAAGGUAAAAUAUAUAUGUCUGAUGUCGAUUUUUAUAAGUUUUUCGUUGUUUUGAUCACCAGGAUACACAAACCUAAGUUCAAGGAAAUAAGCAUGGGUUUCUUUGAGUUAUGGUCGUGUUUAUUAUCUUGUUUAUUAUACUUCUUAAAAC